AUAUCAAUAAGCGGAGGAAAAGAAACUAACAAGGAUUCCCCUAGUAACGGCGAGUGAAGCGGGAAAAGCUCAAAUUUUAAAUCUGAUGGUCUCCGGCCGUCCGAGUUGUAAUCUAGAGAAGUGUUAUCUGUGUCGGACCGCAUGUAAGUCUCCUGGAACGGAGCGUCAUAGAGGGUGAGAAUCCCGUCUGUAAUGCGGACUACCGGUGCUCUACGAUGCGCUCUCAAAGAGUCGAGUUGUUUGGGAAUGCAGCUCAAAACGGGAGGUAAAUUCCUUCUAAAGCUAAAUAUUGGCGAGAGACCGAUAGCGAACAAGUACCGUGAGGGAAAGAUGAAAAGCACUUUGGAAAGAGAGUCAAACAGUACGUGAAAUUGUUGAAAGGGAAACGCUUGAAGUCAGUCGCGUCUUCUGGGAUUCAGCCUUGCUUCUGCUUGGUGCAUUUCCUGGUUGACGGGUCAACAUCGAUUUCGACCGUCGGAUAAGGGUUUGAGGAAUGUGGCAUCUUCGGGUGUGUUAUAGCCUCUUAUCGCAUACGUCGGCUGGGAUCGAGGAACUCAGCAUGCCAUUAUGGUCGGGGUUCGCCCACGUAACAUGCUUAGGAUGUUGGCAUAAUGGCUUUAAGCGACCCGUCUUGAAACACGGACCAAGGAGUCUAACAUGUCUGCGAGUGUUUGGGUGGAAAACCCGAGCGCGUAAUGAAAGUAAAAAGUUGGGACCCUCACGGGGCACCGACGCCCGAGCUGGACCUUUUGUGAAGGCUUUGAGGUAGAGCAUAUAUGUUGGGACCCGAAAGAUGGUGACUAUGGCUGAUAGGCGAGCAGAGAAACUCUGUGAGCUCGUAGCGAUCUGACUGCCAUCGAUCGUCAACUUGGUAUAGGGGGCGCAGGAC
rnacentral:rRNA from 1 species